rnacentral:piRNA from 1 species
UAUGAGAGAAUUGGGUAAACAUGGCGACCG